UACAGAGGGUGCGAGCGUUAAUCGGAAUUACUGGGCGUACAGCGCGCGCAGGCGGUUGCGUAUGUGAGCGGUGACAUCCGCGGGCUCAACCCGCGGCGGCCCGCUUACACAGCGCGACUGGAGGCAGGGAGAGGGAUGUGGAAUACCCGGUGGAGCGGUGAAAUGCGUAGAGAUCGGGUGGAACACCAGCGGCGAAGGCGGCAUCCUGGCCCUGUACUGACGCUGAGGCGCGAUAGCGUGGGGAGCAAACGGG
rnacentral:rRNA from 1 species